rnacentral:tRNA from 1 species
GUUUAUAUAGCUUAGGUAAAAAGUGUAGCACUGAAAAUGCUAAGAUAGAUUUUAAUACAUCUUAUAGACA